ACUGCUCAGUAACACGUGGAUAACCUGCCCUUGGGUCUGGGAUAACCCCGGGAAACUGGGGAUAAUACCGGAUGACGCAUAUGUGCUGGAAUGCUUUAUGCGUAAAACGGAUUCGUCCGCCCAAGGAUGGGUCUGCGGCCUAUCAGGUAGUAGUGGGUGUAAUGUACCUACUAGCCAACAACGGGUACGGGUUGUGAGAGCAAGAGCCCGGAGAUGGAUUCUGAGACAUGAAUCCAGGCCCUACGGGGCGCAGCAGGCGCGAAAACUUUACAGUGCGGGAAACCGUGAUAAGGGAACACCGAGUGCCAGCAUCAUAUGCUGGCUGUCCAGAUGUGUAAAGUACAUCUGUUAGCAAGGGCCGGGCAAGACCGGUGCCAGCCGCCGCGGUAACACCGGCGGCCCGAGUGGUGACCGUUAUUAUUGGGUCUAAAGGGUCCGUAGCCGGUUUGGUCAGUCCUCCGGGAAAUCUGAUAGCUUAACUGUUAGGCUUUCGGGGGAUACUGCCAGGCUUGGAACCGGGAGAGGUAAGAGGUACUACAGGGGUAGGAGUGAAAUCUUGUAAUCCCUGUGAGACCACCUGUGGCGAAGGCGUCUCACCAGAACGGACCUGACGGCAAGGGACGAAAGCUAGGGGCACGAACCGGAUUAGAUACCCGGGUAGUCCUAGCCGUAAACGAUACUCGCUAGGUGUCGGCCACGGUGCGACCGUUGUCGGUGCCGUAGGGAAGCCGUGAAGCGAGCCACCUGGGAAGUACGGCCGCAAGGCUGAAACUUAAAGGAAUUGGCGGGGGAGCAC
rnacentral:rRNA from 1 species